UCUCGAUAGCGUAAAAGUUAACUCAAAUUUGUAUGGAGUCGGAUCGUUUGCCUACGUAUGCCGCUAGGGGCGCUGCUCCAAUUGCAUACAAAUUUGAGUUAACUUUUACGCUAACGA
rnacentral:pre_miRNA from 9 species